GUGAAUCAUAAAGUAGAUAUUUAACUUUGCCUGGAAGUAGAUGUUAUAAAAAAAAAAAGAGGGGGCAUUUAACAAAUGGGACCUAAGAGUGGGGACACUUCCCUGGAAAAGUGGCAGGCAGAGGUUACAAUAUCAGGGGAGUGGUGAGUCAUUAGCCUUCAGAGGAAGUGAGUCAAGAUUCAUACAUCUGGAAUGCACAAAGCAAGGGGAAAUCAGCAGGGACUGGUCAUCCGGAAGCUGUGAUGGAGAGAAUCCAUGGUCCCAUGGAUUCAGCGGGAGGCAGUUACAGUCACUCACAGCAGAGUCUGGGGAAACGGAAAGGAUGUAGAAGCCAAGAGCAUCGCUUUGGACAGGAGAGACAAGACUGAAGAUACAGAUAGAACACAGAACUCACAGAGGCAAGCAGUCAGCUGCAUUUACCUUUCCCCUAGUUGAAACAUUAAAAUACUAUAACCUCCUUUGUAUACGCUUAUGCUGCCUGAAGUGUCCUCCUGCUGGGACCUGAAGUGGAAAUAAAGCCUUCUGUCUUCUCUGUCUCACCAUGACCUUUUGAAUCAACAGUCCACAGCUUCUGUUUUGUAUAGUCACUACCCAGUAAUCAUCUCAUGAAUAAAUAAGGAAAUGAAAGAAUGAGUGAAUGAAUGAAUGAAUGAAUGAUCAGAACAAAAGCAGUAUCCAUUGCUAACAAUGGUAACCCACACUGUUGGUUAUGGUAAUUGUUAACAUUGUUGCUAAUUAUGGAAACUAGAAAAGACAACAAAAAUAUAAUAAAUUAAAAUUUUGCUGGGGUAAAACCCAAGUGCUACUAAUUACAGUUAUUUAUGUUAUUUAUCUUACUUUAAUGCCUAAUUACCACACAGUGCAAGUAAGGAUUGUAUAUAUCAUUAAAUGUGGUGGAUCCACUCAGUUGAGUUUUAUUUCAUCAUAAUAAUGAAUUACACAUAUAUGCUCAAACUAUGUAAAUUAUGGUUGAUGUCUGCUGUUUGUUCCCAACCUUGAAAAAGCUUGGACUCCUAAAUUUGCCUUCUUUCACAUCCUAGUAAUUUUGAUUUUCUUGUCCUCCUUUGUAGCCUAGGUGACUGGAAAGGAGUGGUCAGAAAGGUUAAGUUAGUUUGGUCAAGGUCUCAAUGGCAGUAAAGGAUGACUUUUGAAUAUGCUUCUCCCUAGACUUGGUUUAUUCAUAUGCAUGUUCAUCGGGAAAGCACAUAUAGAGGCCUCUGGCAGUUCAGAGGUACAAGGCUAGACAGUAUGGGACAAGAAAGGGGGUAGUGACAAACAAUGCUGUAGAGUUCCUUCCAAAAGCAGAUUACCCACUAUAGCCUGGUGCCUUAACCCCUCUCCUCUCCUCUCCUCUCCUCUCCUCUCCUCUCCUCUCCUCUCCUCUCUCUCUCUCCUCUCCUCUCU
rnacentral:lncRNA from 1 species